rnacentral:rRNA from 1 species
GAUGAACGCUGGCGGCGUGCCUAAUACAUGCAAGUCGAGCGAACAGACGAGGAGCUUGCUCCUCUGACGUUAGCGGCGGACGGGUGAGUAACACGUGGAUAACCUACCUAUAAUACUGGGAUAACUUCGGGAAACCGGAGCUAAUACCGGAUAAUAUAUUGAACCGCAUGGUUCAAUAGUGAAAGACGGUUUUGCUGUCACUUAUAGAUGGAUCCGCGCCGCAUUAGCUAGUUGGUAAGGUAACGGCUUACCAAGGCAACGAUGCGUAGCCGACCUGAGAGGGUGAUCGGCCACACUGGAACUGAGACACGGUCCAGACUCCUACGGGAGGCAGCAGUAGGGAAUCUUCCGCAAUGGGCGAAAGCUUGACGGAGCAACGCCGCGUGAGUGAUGAAGGUCUUCGGAUCGUAAAACUCUGUUAUUAGGGAAGAACAAAUGUGUAAGUAACUAUGCACGUCUUGACGGUACCUAAUCAGAAAGCCACGGCUAACUACGU